rnacentral:tRNA from 1 species
CGGGAUGUAGCUCAGCUUGGUAGAGCACCUGCUUUGGGAGCAGGGGGUCGCAGGUUCAAAUCCUGUCAUCCCGA